rnacentral:rRNA from 1 species
GAUGAACGCUGGCGGCGUGCCUAAUACAUGCAAGUCGAGCGAACGGACGCUAAGUUUGCUUCUCUCAUGUUAGCGGCGGACGGGUGAGUAACACGUGGAUAACCUACCUAUAAGACUGGGAUAACUUCGAGAAACCGGAGCUAAUACCGGAUAAUAUUUUGAACCGCAUGGUUCAAAAGUGAAAGACGGUCUUGCUGUCACUUAUAGCUGGAUCCGCGCUGCAUUAGAUAGUUGGUAAGGUAACGGCUUACUAAGGCAACGAUGCAUAGCCGAACUGAGAGGGUGAUCGGCCACACUGGAACUGGGACGCGGUCCAGACUCCUACGGGAGGCAGCAGUAGGGAAUCUUCCGCAAUGGGCGAAAGCCUGGCGGAGCAACGCCGCGUGAGUGAUGAAGGUCUUCGGAUCGUAAAACUCUGUUAUUAGGGAAAAACAUAUGUGUAAGGAACUGAGCACUUCUUGACGGUACCUAGUCAGAAAGCCACGGCUAACUACGUG